ACAGCAGCCGCCGCGGUAAUACGGAGGGUGCAAGCGUUAAUCGGAAUUACUGGGCGUAAAGCGUGCGUAGGCGGUUCGUUAAGUCUGUUGUGAAAGCCCCGGGCUCAACCUGGGAAUGGCAAUGGAUACUGGCGAGCUAGAGUGUGUCAGAGGAUGGUGGAAUUCCCGGUGUAGCGGUGAAAUGCGUAGAGAUCGGGAGGAACAUCAGUGGCGAAGGCGGCCAUCUGGGACAACACUGACGCUGAGGCACGAAAGCGUGGGGAGCAAACAGGAUUAGAGACCCGCGUAGUCCCUGUCUCUUAUAA
rnacentral:rRNA from 1 species